UCUGACCGGCAGACCUACUGAAGUCGCCAAGAGGGGAGGCCUCACUGGCAGUCGCAGAUGCGCAGCGGCAACCUUUCUUCAUGACUUAGCGGCCAUGUAAGUGACUGCCCUGUGAAAGCAGCAGAAGAGGCCAAGCAUUUCAACAUUUUAGUAUCUAUUUUAACAGGCAUGACAGCUCACGAAGCCGAUUCGCAGGUGAAGUCAAUAAUACCAAUGGGAGUACUACAGUUACUCGUUACGGGUCACGGAAAGCUUAUGUGGCCAAGAACACAGUGGCCUGUACCAAAAGAGGAGUGGUAGUAUUUAUGUGUGAAUGUACCCCUCUGUGAAUAAAGCCUUUAGUAUUUCAAAGUGUUUUUACAUUUAUUCAAAAAUGUGCAGCAGCCAAAAAUAAAGAAUCCAGCAGAC